UGCACUGUAAUGAAUUGCUGUAAAAAUUACAGCAUUAUUUUACAGCCACGGGCUGUUUUUUAAUAAUACAGCAUAUUGCUGUAAACUGCAAUGCAUUCUGGGGUCACGUGUAGGUCUGACUCAAAUUUACAGAAUUUUGCUGUAAAUUUCAAAUCUUCAGAGCUGCAUCGUUAGGUCUUCAACGGUCGAGGAGAUUAACAGUAAAGGCAAGAGGAGUGAUUCACAACUGUGGAGACACUUUGACAAGUGGACACUGGAUGCUGAGUAUUGAAGGCGAGGUUGUGUGUGAGGGCCCAGUUUCCUGUCCGGCCUUGCAUCUCUGUUUGCUGCUUGUUUAAUCUUGAGUACCAGGAGGAAGCAGUGUGUACCUUGGAGUUCAUUCAAAGGUGCUUUGUGGGCAUAAAUCCGGAGAGAGGAUCCAAAGCCAAGGGAAA